rnacentral:rRNA from 1 species
GAUGAACGCUGGCGGCGUGCUUAACACAUGCAAGUCGAACGGUGAAGCUCCAGCUUGCUGGAGUGGAUCAGUGGCGAACGGGUGAGUAACACGUGAGCAACCUGCCCCUGACUCUGGGAUAACAGCCGGAAACGGCUGCGAAUACCGGAUAUGCACUAUGAACGCGUGUUCUGUGGUGGGAAAGAUUUUUCGGUUGGGGAUAGGUGCGCGGCCUAUCAGCUUGUUGGUGAGGUAAUGGCUUACCAAGGCGUCGACGGGUAGACGGCCUGCGAGGGUGACCGGCCACACGGGUACUGAGACACGGCCCAGACUCCUACGGGAGGCAGCAGUCGGGAAUAUUGCACAAUGGGCGAAAGCCUGAUGCAGCAACGCCGCGUGAGGAAUGACGGCUUUCGGGUGGUAAACCUCUUUUAGCAGGGAAGAAGCGAGAUUGACGGUACCUGCAGAAAAAGCGCCGGCUAACUACGUG